ACUCCUACGGGGAGGCAGCAGUGGGGAAUAUUGCACAAUGGGGGAAACCCUGAUGCAGCCAUGCCGCGUGUGUGAAGAAGGCCUUCGGGUUGUAAAGCACUUUCAGUAGGGAGGAAGGUAGUGUAGUUAACACCUGCAUUAUUUGUACGUUACCUACAGAAGAAGCACCGGCUAACUCCGUGCCAGCAGCCGCGGUAAGUACGGAGGGUGCGAGCGUUAAUCGGAAUUACUGGGCGUAAAGCGCAUGCAGGCGGCCUGUUAAGUCAGAUGUGAAAGCCCGGGGUCUUAACCUCGGAAUUGCAUUUGAAACUGGCAGGCUAGAGUCUUGUAGAGGGGGUUAGAAUUUCAGGUGUAGCGGUGAAAUGCGUAGAGAUCUGAAGGAAUACCGAGU
rnacentral:rRNA from 1 species